AGUGAACGCUGGCGGUAGGCCUAACACAUGCAAGUCGAACGGCAGCACAGAGGAGCUUGCUCCUUGGGUGGCGAGUGGCGGACGGGUGAGGAAUACAUCGGAAUCUACUCUGUCGUGAGGGAUAACGUAGGGAAACUUAUGCUAAUACCGCAUACGACCUACGGGUGAAAGCAGGGGAUCUUCGGACCUUGCGCGAUUGAAUGAGCCGAUGUCGGAUUAGCUAGUUGGCGGGGUAAAGGCCCACCAAGGCGACGAUCCGUAGCUGGUCUGAGAGGAUGAUCAGCCACACUGGAACUGAGACACGGUCCAGACUCCUACGGGAGGCAGCAGUGGGGAAUAUUGGACAAUGGGCGCAAGCCUGAUCCAGCCAUACCGCGUGGGUGAAGAAGGCCUUCGGGUUGUAAAGCCCUUUUGUUGGGAAAGAAAUCCAUCUGGUUAAUACCCGGGUGGGAUGACGGUACCCAAAGAAUAAGCACCGGCUAACUUCGUGCCAGCCGCCGCGGUAA
rnacentral:rRNA from 1 species